rnacentral:snRNA from 1 species
UGAUGUGACAGAGAUCUGGCUGUGCCAUCUGUCACCCCAUUGAUGGAUAGGGUUGGUUGGGCUGGGCUGCCCGGCUAGGUGGGUGUCCCCUUCCUCCCUUACCUCUCCAUGCGUGUCCCUCCUGACACUGCACCCUCCGAUACAAAGGACAACUUUCUCCAAAUCGAGGAGGAUGGGUCUUUGGUCAAGGGCUAUAUGAAUAGCUGCAUUCCCCUCUUAGACUCUCCAAACAAGCUCUCAAGGGACAUCGUCGAGCUUUCCUACGCAUCUGUAAUUGACGAUGUGAGGAUCUAACACCUGACUUCACUUCCUUCCAAGGUCUCUGGAGAGUAUGGAAGCUGAGCCUCCGAGUCCCUU